GCCUCCGUAUUCGAGUCUGAUAGCGAGUCGUCAUCAGUAACAGGAUCGGAAUCGGAAUCUUCGUCAGGGGGGAGCAGUUCAGAUUACAGCUCUUCGUCUUCGGAGGAAGAAAGGAGACGGAGGAGGAAGAAGAAGAAGCAGAAGAUGAAAAGUAGGCGGAGGAGAUACACCUCGUCUUCCGAGUCUUCUGAUUCGGACUCUGGGUCAGAGUCGGACUCUGAGAAAAAGAGCAGCCGACGGAAGAAGAGGCACAGCCGCAAGCGUUGAAAGACGAUGGCUGUCGGAUGGAGGUCCUUCCUUCUGGUAAGCGCUCUGGUUCCAUCAUCUCCUUACAUCUCCAGUCUUUCCUAUUCAAUUUCCAUUCUUUCUAGAUCUUGAGCUAAUUGUUUGAGCUAGAAACUAUUCUUAUUGAAUCUGCAUAUUUGUCGGACUACCUUAGGGUUUACGCUGCUUCGCUAGGAUCGAUUUCGUUUUCUUUUCCGCUUUCUCAUCAGAAAACUAGGGUUCCUCCACGACUAUUGCUGAUGAUAUUAUUAUGCUUCUCUGUUAAUUUGUUUCUAUAUUUCUGUUGCUCGCUAUUAGUAUUCGGUCUCUCUUUACCAGUGUAUGUCUUCAGCUAGCUUGAUUUUGAUCGUCAGGUAACCAAUUGGCUGCAGGUUUGAACUCUGUGAUUCCCGAUUGGUGCUGUGAGGGUUCUGUUCUGGCAUAAUGUCUAGUAAGAAAGAAGAGAUCAAAGCUGCGGCAUUGAAUGCUGCUAAGGGACUGAGUCGUGCCCAGGCUGAACGAGCGGCAACUGCUGCUGCACGCAAUGUGAAUGCAUAUGGUCAAAAGGAAGAAGGGCCGAGUAGAUGGCAGGAGAAGAGGGAAGCAAAGCGGCAGAUGUAUUUGAUGAGUACGGAGAAGCAAGUGAGAUUGGGGGAGAGAAAAGACGUCAAAUCUUCCAUGACUGCUGCUGGUGGCGGCACUGCUCAAUGCCAGAAGUGUUUCCAAGCCGGGCACUGGACUUUUGAGUGCAAGAACGAAAGGGUUUACAUGGCCAGACCCUCCCGUACCCAGCAGCUUAAGAACCCGAAGCUGAAAAUGAAGGUUGCGGUGUCUUACGAUCUGGAAGAACCCGAAACUCUUAACGAGGAGAAGGAUAAGAAGAAGACGUCGUCUAAGAGCAAGAGGAAACAUAGAUCGGAUUCUGGUUCAGGUAGCGACAGCGAGGCCUCCGUAUUCGAGUCUGAUAGCGAGUCGUCAUCAGUAACAGGAUCGGAAUCGGAAUCUUCGUCAGGGGGGAGCAGUUCAGAUUACAGCUCUUCGUCUUCGGAGGAAGAAAGGAGACGGAGGAGGAAGAAGAAGAAGCAGAAGAUGAAAAGUAGGCGGAGGAGAUACACCUCGUCUUCCGAGUCUUCUGAUUCGGACUCUGGGUCAGAGUCGGACUCUGAGAAAAAGAGCAGCCGACGGAAGAAGAGGCACAGCCGCAAGCGUUGAAAGACGGUGGCUGUAAGAUGGAAGAAGAUUAUUAAUCUCUGAGGAUACGAAGUGCCGGAGCAUGUUAGAUACAGAGGAAUGAUUGUAAGAUGUUGAUGGCCCCUAGUUGAAAUAAGUUGGCAGACGAAUGAGUGGCUUCCUUGCUGAAUGUUGUUACCUCAGUUGUGUUUUUGUAUGAACAAAAUUAGCUGUGUUUAGUUAGUUUGUUGAGCUUGUUAUUUGAUAGCUGUGUGCUACUCUCUUGUCAUGUUUCUUGAAUUUGGUUGUCAAAUUAAUUAGCAGUUUUCCUACUUCUCGUCUUUUAACUCCGUGUUCCAAGUUUGUUUUACAUGAGAAAAAAAUAUAACAUUAUGUGGUGUACGAUUGGUUUCGAAC
rnacentral:lncRNA from 1 species